GAAGAUAGCAUAGUGAUAAAAAACAUGGUAGCUUGAAAACCUGAUAAUGAAAGUGCUAAUAAAUAAAACUACUAGUAAAUAAAUAUAGUUUUAAUAAAACAUAUAAAAAAAAAAAAGAAAUUGAACAAUAAAAAACGAAACAACAUGAAACAGUUGAUUGACUUGUAUGCACAAUACAGGAGUGAAGUUGGUACUUUCAAAGUAAAAAUGGUUAAAAUUAUGAAGCUGAAGAAAGCCACAGAGUUUAAAAAUAUUAGCAUCCAAAUAACACCAUUAUGAAUUAGUAAAAGGUAGUAGGAAGAAGCUUCAGAACAUAUGCGGAGAACCAGAAUAAAACAGGGAAAGAAAGAGAACAGAAAAAGGCCUCUAACUUCAACUGAAUGCUGACAGGAGUGGAAAUUAAAUUAUUACUAAAGAAAAAAAAUUUCUUGCUUUAUCACAAUACCCAGUAAUAAGCAAACUAUACAUUUUGUGUCGCUCAACUGAAGAAGAUUAAUCACAAUGAGUAUUUGCUCUUUGGAUGGAUCGAUAUGACUUGAUAAUCUUACUAAUCUCCUUUUAUUCAAUAUGUAGUAAGAAAGCUACAAAUAAUUAUUUGUAUUGCUUCAGUACAAAUGAUCAAACUUUCCCUGAUAGGUGGAUAGGACAAGUUUAUUUAUUUGGCCAUCCAGAUCUUCAGACCUAACUUGCCUAGAUUUUUAUUUGUGGGGCCAAAUAAAGGAUCUUUUUUACACCAGGAACCUAACCAAAACCGAGCAUUUGUGAUCAUCUUGUCUCUUGUAAAGAUGUGAGUUUUUAUUUUCAUGUUAUGUUUGGUUUCUAUUUGAAAUGCUUGAGAGGUGAGUGUGAAGAAAUUUGAAGUUUCUCCCAAAAACAAGCUUGAAGCGUGGUUGAAUGAUAAUUGAUUGUAUUUUUAGAUUUAAUGUAUAAAUCAGAAUGUUUAGUAUUUUCCCUCAAAUUCUGCUUUUUUUUUCUGCCAUCUCGUUUGAUUUUAGAUAACUUCGUCUGAACACCUCAUGCUCAAAGAUCCAUAAUUUUUGGUUUUUUAUUGAUAAAAUGAUUUAUAAACUCAGCUUCAUAGAUUGAACGGAGAUACUCAGGCUUUCGGAAAUUUUAUAAUAAUAUGUUCUUUUAUUUCAUGAGCCAGGUCUCUCAAUAUAUUUUGAAAUAAAUAACUUCUCUAUAUUACUUAAUCCUUUGGUGUUAUCAGCAUUACUUUUACAUUUUUCUGAUGUACCAAUAUUAAAUAAUUUAAGUCUGUGUUAAACGAUAUCGAUAGUGCAUCUGUAAGAAAAAAUUUAUUACCCAAUUUUCAAUUCAAUAAAGAUAUCAUGAUAUCGUACUGUUCCAAAUUUAACCUAAUAUUUGAAGUUUUAGAUGGGUUUAUUCUUAUGAUUCUUAGAAAAAUUGUUACAGUCUUUUCAUUACUUUCAAAAAUCACAGUUCCUCUAAAAAUAUAUUUAUGAAAGUGCUCACAUCUUUGUGAAAUAGG